CGACAGGGAUUGCCUUAGUAGCGGCGAGUGAAGCGGCAAAAGCUCAAAUUUGAAAUCUGGCUCUUUCAGAGUCCGAGUUGUAAUUUGAAGAAGGUAUCUUUGGGUCUGGCUCUUGUCUAUGUUUCUUGGAACAGAACGUCACAGAGGGUGAGAAUCCCGUGCGAUGAGAUGAUCCAGGCCUAUGUAAAGUUCCUUCGAAGAGUCGAGUUGUUUGGGAAUGCAGCUCUAAGUGGGUGGUAAAUUCCAUCUAAAGCUAAAUAUUGGCGAGAGACCGAUAGCGAACAAGUACAGUGAUGGAAAGAUGAAAAGAACUUUGAAAAGAGAGUGAAAAAGUACGUGAAAUUGUUGAAAGGGAAGGGCUUGAGAUCAGACUUGGUAUUUUGUAUGUUACUUCUUCGGGGGUGGCCUCUACAGUUUAUCGGGCCAGCAUCAGUUUGGGCGGUAGGAGAAUUGCGUUGGAAUGUGGCACGGCUUCGGUUGUGUGUUAUAGCCUUCGUCGAUACUGCCAGCCUAGACUGAGGACUGCGGUUUAUACCUAGGAUUUUCAUG
rnacentral:rRNA from 1 species